rnacentral:rRNA from 1 species
GAUGAACGCUAGCUACAGGCUUAACACAUGCAAGUCGCGGGGCAGCAUGGGGGUUGCUUGCAAUCCCUGAUGGCGACCGGCGCACGGGUGAGUAACGCGUAUCCAACCUGCCCUUCACCACGGGAUAACCCGGCGAAAGUCGGACUAAUACCGUAUGUUGUCCAUUGACGGCAUCCGAUUUGGACGAAAGGCUUAGCGGUGAGGGAUGGGGAUGCGUCCGAUUAGCUUGACGGCGGGGUAACGGCCCACCGUGGCUACGAUCGGUAGGGGUUCUGAGAGGAAGGUCCCCCACACUGGAACUGAGACACGGUCCAGACUCCUACGGGAGGCAGCAGUGAGGAAUAUUGGUCAAUGGGCGUAAGCCUGAACCAGCCAAGUAGCGUGCAGGAUGACGGCCCUAUGGGUUGUAAACUGCUUUUAUGCGGGGAUAAAGGGACCCACGUGUGGGUUUUUGCAGGUACCGCAUGAAUAAAGACCGGCUAAUUCCGU